rnacentral:lncRNA from 1 species
ACCGUGGCACAGUCUCAGCUCGUCUAUUAAUUUCAGUUAAUUUCCUGCAAGCUCUGCCUUCGUUUGGAUUUCUCUCCCUCUCUCUCUCUCUCUCUCCCCCAGCAGAUACAAGAUGAGGAAAGGUUAAAGUAUAACCUUGUCUCACUGGCUUGUGAUUCGUUUCAUGCAAAUAUCUACCUACAGCCUGGUAAUUAUAUGCAUUUCCAGAGAGCCAAUCAGCUGUCAGCCUGACAGAUACUGAUAUUUCAGCUUUAUUUUUAGCUCUGUGCUUCCCCCUCUAGAACCUAAAAGAAAAAAAGGGAAAAAAGGAAAAUCUUUUUGUUCCAUCUCCCUGCUCGUUUUCUUUUGCCGCAGCUUCUUCCCUCCCUCCCUCCCUCUCUCUCUUCCUUCCUCCCUUCCUUCCCUCCUUCCUUCCUUCCUUCUACCCUCCAGCAAAGCUUGCCUCAGCCUAGGAGAGCAAAGCAAAGCAACGCUUUGCAUGAAAGAAUAAACCCUGCAAUAAGAUGGGAGUCCUUCCGAGCUCAUGUCCAAGGUGCAAAACACUUUCUGUUUUGCUCCUUCCAUCCUGCUUCAGUGGGAAAACCGAUGGGAAGAAUUCAGAAAACCAGAGGCCCAAAGCACAGUAAGUGUCCUUGAGUGCAGAAGGUGCAUCUGGGGACCGGGUAUUGCCACUGCCCUGCAAAAUUUGGCCCUGUGCAGAAUCUGAUCUUGGGAGGGGUUUGCAGACAAACUGGGUCACUGCGCUUCAACAUUUGGGACAAGGAUAUUUUCCCCUUCUCUGCAAUGCUACCUAAUCUAUGUAAGUUUUUGCAUGUGUUGCCUUAAAUUUGCAGAACAGAUUCAGUUUUCAUUUUUCAGUAUUCCUGCCAAAGAAUUUAGAAUCUGCAUGGAAGUGUCCAUGGGCUCCCAAAGGGAUGAGCUCAUCUCAAGAAUAUCCUGGCCAUGAAGGGAAAAAUCUGUAGCUUAGUGGCUGAGCAUCUGCUUCACAUUCAAGAAGUCCCAGAUUUGAUCCC